GAUGAACGCUGGCGGCGUGCCUAAUACAUGCAAGUCGAGCGAACAGACGAGGAGCUUGCUCCUCUGACGUUAGCGGCGGACGGGUGAGUAACACGUGGAUAACCUACCUAUAAGACUGGGAUAACUUCGGGAAACCGGAGCUAAUACCGGAUAAUAUAUUGAACCGCAUGGUUCAAUAGUGAAAGACGGUUUUGCUGGCACUUAUAGAUGGUUCCGCGCCGCAUUAGCUAGUUGGUAAGGUAACGGCUUACCAAGGCUACGAUGCGUAGCCGACCUGAGAGGGUGAUCGGCCACACUGGAACUGGGCCACCGUCCAGGCUCCUACGGGAGGCAGCAGUCGGGAAUGUGACGCAGUGGGCGAAAGCCUGACGGAGCAACGCCGCGUGAGUGAUGAAGGUCUUCGGAUCGUAAAACUCUGUUAUGAGGGAAAAACAAAUGUGUAAGGAACUAUGCACGUCUUGACGGUACCUAAUCAGAAAGCCACGGCUAACUACGUG
rnacentral:rRNA from 1 species